rnacentral:rRNA from 1 species
AUUGAACGCUGGCGGCAGGCCUAACACAUGCAAGUCGAACGUGUGGCGGACGGGUGAGUAAUGUCUGGGAACCUGCUUGAUGGAGGGGGAUAACUACUGGAAACGCUAGCUAAAACCGCAUACCAUCAGAUGUGCCUAGUUGGGAUUAGCUAGUAGGAGGGGGAAUGGCUAACCAAGGCCACGAUCCCUAGCUGGUCUGAGCGGAUGACCAGCCACACUGGAACUGAGACACUGUCCAGACUCCUACGGGAGGAAGCGGUGGGGAAUAUUGCACAAUGGGCGAAAGCCGGAUACAGCCAUGCCGCGUGUGUGAAGAAGGCCUUCGGGUUGUAAAGUACUUUAAGCGGGGAGGCGUUACCCGCAGAAGAAGCACCGGCUAACUCCGUGCCAGCAGCCGCGGUAAUUC